rnacentral:lncRNA from 1 species
AUCUAGAGAAUUGUGGUUGUUUUGUUUAUUUCACUGAAGAUGCAUCAUCACUAUACCUACUUAAGCAUAUUCUCUGCAUCUGUAUUUAUUUAAAAAUGCUUUUGCAACCUGACACUGUUCAGCUUUUUUAUCUUUUACCAGUAUUUGGGGACUUAUUGGGGAUUCCUUUGAUAAUUUCAGGAAGAAAGAAGUGGAAUGGAAGGAGCCAGUAACUGUCCCAGGUCAGAAAACGCCUCUGAAAAGGAUCUACAUUACACCCAAAGUUCAUUGGAUAACUGCACCCUCAACAAUCAGGAGACAAUAAGUGGUGUAGACAGAGCUAAUAUCUUCCCCAAAUCAGAUGGUACCUCUGAAGACAUUCAGCAUUCCACAGACUGUUCACAGGUUGAGACUUUCCACAUUCAGGAGACAAUAAGUGGUACGAACCAAGCCAGUAACUGCCCCAAAUCAGAUGGUGCCUCUGAAGACAAUCAGCAUUGCACAGACAGUUCACAGCAUGACAGUAUCUUCCACAUUCAGGAGACAAUAAAGGGUAUGAACCAAGCCAGUAACUGCCCCAAAUCAGAUGGUGCCUCUGAAGACAAUCAGCAUUGCACAGACAGUCCACAGCAUGACAGUAUCUUCCACAUUCAGGAGACAAUAAAGGGUAUGAACCAAGCCAGUAACUGCCCCAAAUCAGAUGGUGCCUCUGAAGACAAUCAGCAUUGCACAGACAGUCCACAGCAUGACAGUAUCUUCCACAUUCAGGAGACAAUAAAGGGUAUGAACCAAGCCAGUAACUGCCCCAAAUCAGAUGGUGCCUCUGAAGACAAUCAGCAUUGCACAGACAGUCCACAGCAUGACAGUAUCUUCCACAUUCAGGAGACAAUAAAGGGUAUGAACCAAGCCAGUAACUGCCCCAAAUCAGAUGGUGCCUCUGAAGACAAUCAGCAUUGCACAGACAGUCCACAGCAUGACAGUAUCUUCCACAUUCAGUGGCUCUUGAUGUAGAACCACCCAUAGAUCCUUCUGCAAAAGAAGUCCAGAAAUCUUCAAUUGAACAAGCAACAGAAAUAACAAGUACCACAACUACCAUGAAAGGUACUGUUUGUUAAACUUCAUAGAAAGCCUUUAUGAACUUAAAAAUCUCUGUUUUUUCUGAUGUGCUUUGUUCAUUCAGGUCGAAAGGUGGUAAAGAAAAAGAAAUGGGACAGUGAUGAAAUGAAUGCAGUUGAAAAGCAUCUAAACAGGUUCAUCAAAACUUGUACAGUGCCAGGAAAACAACAAUGUGAGGCCUGUAUAAAUGCUGAACCUGUUGCCUUGAAAGACAGGGAUUGGUUGUCUGUAAAGUUCUUUGUGAAGAACAAAAUCACUACCCUUAAAAGAAGAAUGUAAAGUCAGUUAUUUUAUUUUGUUUGGUAUCUUAUUUUCUGGUAUUUUAGAUUUCUGGUUAUUACAUUUGUUUUAAAAGGAUCUUAGAAUCUCUUUUUUUUUUUUUGGAAAUGGGUGCAAUUCAGUAAAGUGUCUUUGAAUCGAAUGUAAAUAUGUACAG